UAUUGCAGCAAAUGCACCAAGAACUUUUGUAACUCCAAAUGGGUACGAUCUACAUUUAACAACCCAUUUACAGUGCGACGCCGAUAUGAAGAACUACAUUUUACCACUUUGUAUAACCAAAUUUUCAAAUAACCGAAAGAACCACUAGAAACCACUUCAAAUAUCAAAAAUCCACAUUCAACGAUACAAAAAUCUAUCGACAAUCUUGGCAAUGUACUGAAAAAAUAAUCUUUUAUGUUUGUUUAAUUUUUUUUUUUAUAUCUUUUAAGUUGAUUCGACUUC
ensembl:ncRNA lncRNA:CR45405 long non-coding RNA:CR45405